rnacentral:misc_RNA from 1 species
GGACUACUCGGGUUUCUAAUCCCGUUCGCUACCCUAGCUUUCGUUCCUCAGCGUCAGAAAAUAUCCAGUAAGCCGCCUUCGCCACCGGUGUUCCAGAUGAUAUCAAUGCAUUUCACCGCUCCACCAUCUGUUCCGCUUACCCCUAUAUCCCUCAAGCCUUACGGUUUGGGGCGCAAUUCCUCGGUUGAGCCGAGGGCUUUCACACCCCACCUGCAAAGCCGCCUACGAACUCUUUAAGCCCAGUGAUACCGAAUAACGUUUGGAGAGCUCGUCUUACCGCGGCUGCUGGCACG